UACGGGGGGGAGCAAGCGUUGUUCGGAUUUACUGGGCGUAAAGGGCGCGUAGGCGGCGUGACAAGUCACUUGUGAAAUCUCCGGGCUUAACUCGGAACGGUCAAGUGAUACUGUCGUGCUAGAGUACAGAAGGGGCAACUGGAAUUCUCGGUGUAGCGGUGAAAUGCGUAGAUAUCGAGAGGAACACCUGCGGCGAAGGCGGGUUGCUGGGCUGAUACUGACGCUGAGGCGCGAAAGCCAGGGGGAGCGAACGGGG
rnacentral:rRNA from 1 species